AUGUUAUGCAGAACAUGCUCCGCAUCAACUUCUUUAACAUUGUCUCCCAAACCCUUGAGAAUUUCACAAACUUCUCGCUCAUUAGGAUCAGAUGAGUUGUGCAAUUUGGCAAGAGAUGAGAUGGCGCUAUGGGUUUUGCUCCAAACUCGAUUGGAAUUGAGGAGUUUGGGUUUUGCUCCAAACUCGAUGAUUUGGUAUUGGGAUCAAGAGAGAAAGAAGAUCAGAACAAAUCGGACAGAAAGUCAUAAAGCAAUCGCGAAAGGGGUAAGAUCUUUAGCUUUUUGUUUGUUUUUGGUGGUUGGGUUUUGA